rnacentral:rRNA from 1 species
UACGUAGGGGGCGAGCGUUAUCCGGAUUCACUGGGUGUAAAGGGAGCGUAGACGGCCAUGCAAGCCAGGGGUGAAAGCCCGGGGCCCAACCCCGGGACUGCCCUUGGAACUGCAUGGCUGGAGUGCGGGAGGGGCAGGCGGAAUUCCUGGUGUAGCGGUGAAAUGCAUAGAUAUAACUUAGAACACCGAUAGCGAAGGCAGCUUACCAGACUGAGUCUGACGCUGAUGCACGAGAGCAUGGGUAGCGAACAGG